rnacentral:rRNA from 1 species
UACGAGGGGUGCAAGCGUUGCUCGGAAUUAUUGGGCGUAAAGGGUAGGUAGGUGGUCUCGUUUGUCUGGGGUGAAAGCCUCGAGCUUAACUCGAGAAGUGCCCCGGAAACGGUGAGACUAGAGUACUGGAGAGGGUCGUGGAAUUCCCGGUGUAGCGGUGAAAUGCGCAGAUAUCAGGAGGAACACCGGUGGCGAAGGCGGGUCUCUGGGCCGAUACUGACGCUGAGGAGCGAAAGCGUGGGGAGCGAACAGG